ACGAUACUUUCCAAACAUGUUCGUCUCCUUGUUUCCACUUCAGUUUAAAUGAAUCAACCUGCAGUGGAUAACUAAAGGUUAGAUGAGAUCUCUCUUGAGGGGACCAGCAAGGACUCUCACAUGUGUGUGAAGAAAACUGAGCUUCUUUUAGGCAGACUUUGGAAAAUGGAGCAGGAAGAAGAUGCUCUUGGUGGAAGAGAGGGUCUUAAACCUGAAGAGUUGAUUUAACAACUUACAUUCCCUGCUACCAGGAUCUAAGAUGAAAAAAAUUAGAGAAAGUAAAAGUCCUUCCUAAGCCAAAGGAUGAAGUAAGAAGCAAAGAAAAUGCUAGUGAUGGAAUGAAGG